rnacentral:lncRNA from 1 species
CAAAGAGCCGCGGGCGUAGACAAGGAGGCACACUGAGCACCGUCCCUCGGGUCCGGGGCGGCGACUUCAGGCUGGACCUAGCGCUGAGGCGCGCGGCGAGAACAAGCUCACCUUUAAGAUUCCCCAGCAGGAGACAACCUGUGAGGCCCCCCGCCUGCCCCCGCCAACUUCUCUCGAACGCCCCGCAGUCUACCCCGCAGCCAGCUGUCAGGACCCCAGCCGCGAAGCCACCACCUCCCGAUUCCGCCCGGCCUCCCCCGCAGGAUCCUUUUAUAUCUAGAAGAUUGCUAUGAUUUAGUUGAGACCAACACAGUGGACAUACAGACAUGGCAAGAAUAUUAGCAAAUGUUUCUGAACAAUUAUUAAGAAGAGCAACACACAGCUUUCCCUGGAAACAAAGAUAAACCCUUCUUUUAUGAAAGUUUCAGAUGACCACUGAACUCGGAUCCAGAACUCAAAUAAUGAGUACCAACCUACCUUCUCAACAAGAAAUGUUAUCCCAGCAAGGCAGCUGUGAGCUAAUUAAACAGCCAAGAUCGCUGUGCUGAACUUCAGUACUGCAUUUAGAGAAUUAAUUCAGAGGACAUGUUAUUAAAGUCUAGGGUUUAUCAGAAGAAGACAGCUUUUUUUUUUUUUUAAAGCAGCAUUCAAAAAAAUUAACAUACUGGGUAAGCUUCUUGUUAUAGAUGGAGCCUAUGAGAUCCUUCAAAUAGAUACAAAAACGAAGCAAUGAAUUUCUAAGCAAAUAAUAAAGCUAUUGCCCUCAGAGACUAUGAUCUAAAAAUAGUACUUAAGAUAACUGGAGAGUACUUUCAAAAGUAAAUUUUUUCUCUAUACGGCUAUUUCUAAAAUUUUAAAAGCCACAUUGAUGAUCACAGAUAUGCUGGAGUCAGUUUCUCUCUCUCUCUCUCUCUCUCUCUCUCUCUCUCUCUCUCUCUCUCUCUCUCUCUCUCUCUCUUCUAUCU